GGACUCUUAGCUCAGUUGGUUAGUGCGCGAAACUCUGUCUUUUGGCUGGACUCCCGAGGUCGCGUGUUCGAUCCUCUCAGGAAACA